CCACCGUGGAUAUCCCUGGAGGUCACUCUCCCCAGGCUCUGUCUUAGUGGUGUAGGGGAGCAUAGGGCUCUGCCCUGUGAUGUACGGUCCCUUUCCACGACAUUGGAGAUGAAGCUGGGCUUCGAGUCCGCGCCUGCGUAGUCCUAAGACUUCUCAAAGUCCUGUGGAUGAUGACUGGAGAGACAAGCCAUGCAGGAAACAGUC
ensembl:snoRNA SNORA73 Small nucleolar RNA SNORA73 family